GAUGAAGAACGCAGCGAAAUGCGAUACGUAAUGUGAAUUGCAAAUUCAGUGAAUCAUCGAGUCUUUGAACGCACAUUGCGCCCCCUGGUAUUCCGGGGGGCAUGCCUGUCCGGGCGUCAUUGCUGCCCUCAAGCACGGCUUGUGUGUUGGGCCCCGUCCUCCGAUCCCGGGGGACGGGCCCGAAAGGCAGCGGCGGCACCGCGUCCGGUCCUCGAGCGUAUGGGGCUUUGUCACCCGCUCUGUAGGCCCGGCCGGCGCUUGCCGAUCAACCCAAAUUUUUAUCCAGGUUGACCUCGGAUCAGGUAGGGAUACCCGCUGAACUUAAGCAUAUCAAUAAGCGGAGGA
rnacentral:misc_RNA from 1 species